CAAUAGCGUAUAUUAAAGUUGUUGCAGUUAAAAAGCUCGUAGUUGGACCUUGGACCUGGACAGGCGGUCCGCCUCACGGCGAGUACUGUCUUGCUGGGUCUUUCCUCUUGGUGAUCUGUUGUUUCGGCAGCAGGGAACCAGGACCUUUACUUUGAAAAAAUUAGAGUGUUCAAAGCCGGCUCGACGCCGGAAUAUAUUAGCAUGGAAUAAUAAAAUAGGACGUGCGGUUCUAUUUUGUUGGUUUUUGGAAUCGCCGUAAUGAUUAAUAGGGACAGUCGGGGGCAUUAGUACUCACAUGCUAGAGGUGAAAUUCUUGGAUUUUGUGAAGACUAACUUCUGCGAAAGCAUUUGCCAAGGAUGUUUUCAUUAA
rnacentral:rRNA from 1 species